ACAACGUGUAAGGCGUCAUGCCAUAUGGACGAAUCGAACCCACGCUUGUUACGCUGCCACACCUCCAUUACGUCACCUCCGCUAUGCAUGGUACUGUAAGCCACGCCUUCUUCUGCCUCCCGCCGUCUCUCCUCCUCCUAUAUGGGACCGCGCCUAGUCUGCUGUACAGCGAAGGGGCGGCACCAGAGAGACGGCGGAUAUCAUCCUCCUGCUCACCAGAAGAGCACGGGUGGUAGAGGAUGGCAUCCGGGCGUACCAGCUCUUACUCCUCUCCAUCCUCCAGUUUUAACGCUGGCUAUAGGCAAAAUUAAAGCGGGGCUACGGCCAGUGAGGACGGGCAGAACCUCUGGUCCUCCAUUCUGAGUGAAGUCUCAACACGGUCACGCUCUAAGCUACCGUUUGGCAAAAAUGUGCUGCUACUCGGUAAAUAAAGGAUAUUUCUGUUUA